rnacentral:misc_RNA from 1 species
GAGUUAGGGUCUUUGGCCCGAUCUCCAACCCUGUGUCUAGCUACCAUGUUGCUUUGGCGGGCCCGCCUGUCAUGGGCCGUCGGGGGUCCCGUACCUCUGGCCCGCGUCCGCCAGUAGCCUUCUUUAAAUUCUUUAUAACUGUGUUGUCUGAGUACAAAUAUAAAAUCGUCAAAAACUUUCAACAACGGAUCUCUUGGUUCU